GAUGAACGCUGGCGGCGUGCCUAAUACAUGCAAGUCGAGCGAACGGACGAGAAGCUUGCUCCCCUGAUGUUAGCGGCGGACGGGUGAGUCACACGUGGAUAACCUACCUAUAAGACUGGGAUAACUUUGGGAAACCGGAGCUAAUACCGGAUAAUAUUUUGAACCGCAUGGUUCAAAAGUGAAAGACGGUCUUGCUGUCACUUAUAGAUGGAUACGCGCUGCAUUAGCUAGUUGGUAAGGUAACGGCUUACCAAGGCAACGAUGCAUAGCCGACCUGAAAGGGUGAUCGGCCACACGGGAACUGAGACAGGGCCCAGACUCCUACGGGAGGCAGCAGUAGGGAAUCUUCCGCAAUGGGCGAAAGCCUGACGGAGCAACACCGCGUGAGUGAUGAAGGACUUCGGAUCGUAAAGCUCUGUUAUUAGGGAAGAACAUAUGUGUAAGUAACUGUGAACAUCAUGACGGUACCUAAUCAGAAAGCCACGGCUAACUACGUG
rnacentral:rRNA from 1 species